AGAGUUUGAUCAUGGCUCAGGAUGAACGCUAGCGGCAGGCCUAAUACAUGCAAGUCGGACGGGAUCCAUCGGUAGCUUGCUACCGAUGGUGAGAGUGGCGCACGGGUGCGUAACGCGUGAGCAACCUGCCCAUAUCAGGGGGAUAGCCCGGAGAAAUCCGGAUUAACACCGCAUGACACUGCUUUCCGGCAUCGGGAGGUAGUCAAAUAUUCAUAGGAUAUGGAUGGGCUCGCGUGACAUUAGCUAGUUGGUGGGGUAACGGCCCACCAAGGCGACGAUGUCUAGGGGCUCUGAGAGGAGAAUCCCCCACACUGGUACUGAGACACGGACCAGACUCCUACGGGAGGCAGCAGUAAGGAAUAUUGGUCAAUGGGGGCAACCCUGAACCAGCCAUGCCGCGUGCAGGACGACUGCCCUAUGGGUUGUAAACUGCUUUUGUUAGGGAAUAAACCCCGCUACGUGUAGCGGGCUGAAUGUACCUAAAGAAUAAGGAUCGGCUAACUCCGUGCCAGCAGCCGCGGUAAUAC
rnacentral:rRNA from 1 species